ACAAGACUCCCUUUAUAAGAGACGGUCCAGCUCCAUCUAAUGAUCACUCGUCAUCAUGGCGCUGAAAGUUAGCUGCUGUUGGAAAGGGCUCCUUCUGUUCUCUUUCCUUCUCGUCUGUGUCAAUGGACAAAUAUCAGGGCCAUAUUUCAUGGUGACGUUUCCUGCAGUGAUUGAGUCGGGAUCUUGAGGCCAAACUGUGUGCAAGUCUUCUCAAGCCCAAUCAAAACCUUGUCAUGAACAUUUAUCUGGUUCAUGGUGACCAGAGCACUUUACUGCUACAGGAGAAAGCUGAGGAAGAGUUUCACCGCUGCUUUAACUUCAAGGCUCCUCUGGUAGAAGCAGAAUCAGUGCAGAAAAUAAAGGUAGAACUUCAGGGAAAGUAUUUCAAGAUGACUGAAGAGAGAAAAGUCAUGUUCAAACCUUACCAUCCUCUGACCUUUAUCCAGACUGAUAAACCCAUCUAUAUUCCUGGACAAACAGGUGAGCUGUGAACGUUUCAAAUAA